GAUGAAGAACGUAGCGAAAUGCGAUAAGUAAUGUGAAUUGCAGAAUUCAGUGAAUCAUCGAAUCUUUGAACGCACAUUGCGCCCGCCAGUAUUCUGGCGGGCAUGCCUGUUCGAGCGUCAUUACAACCCUCAGGCCCCCGGGCCUGGCGUUGGGGAUCGGCGGAAGCCCCCUGCGGGCACAACGCCGUCCCCCAAAUACAGUGGCGGUCCCGCCGCAGCUUCCAUUGCGUAGUAGCUAACACCUCGCAACUGGAGAGCGGCGCGGCCACGCCGUAAAACACCCAACUUCUGAAUGUUGACCUCGAAUCAGGUAGGAAUACCCGCUGAACUUAAGCAAAUCAAUAAGCGGAGGA
rnacentral:misc_RNA from 1 species